rnacentral:tRNA from 1 species
GCCCUCGUGGCACAAUGGUUAAGUGUUCAGCUGCUAACCAAAAGGUCGGUGGUUCAAAUUCACCCAUGGGUC